rnacentral:rRNA from 1 species
CGCUGAACUAGCAUAUCAUAGCGGAGGAAAGAACUAACAGGAUUCCCCUAGUAACUGCGAGUGAAGCGGGAAAAGCUCAAAUUUAAAAUCUGGCAGUCUUUGGCUGUCCGAGUUGUAAUCUAGAGAAGUAUUAUCCGCGCUGGACCGUGUACAAGUCUCCUGGAAUGGAGCGUCAUAGAGGGUGAGAAUCCCGUCUUUGACACGGACUGCCAGGGCUUUGUGAUAUGCUCUCAAAGAGUCGAGUUGUUUGGGAAUGCAGCUCAAAAUGGGUGGUAAAUUCCAUCUAAAGCUAAAUAUUGGCGAGAGACCGAUAGCGAACAAGUACCGUGAGGGAAAGAUGAAAAGAACUUUGGAAAGAGAGUUAAACAGUACGUGAAAUUGYUGAAAGGGAAACGCUUGAAGUCAGUCGCGUUGGCCAGGGAUCAACCUUGCUUUUUUGCUUGGAUUACUUUCUGGUCGAUGGGUCAGCAUCAAUUUUGACCGGUGGAAAAAGUUCAAAGGAAUGUGGCAUCUUCGGAUGUGUUAUAGCCUUUGUUCACAUACAUUGGUUGGGAUUGAGGAACUCAGCACGCCGCAAGGCCGGGUUUUUAACCACGUACGUGCUUAGGAUGCUGGCAUAAUGGCUUUAAUCGACCCGUCUUGAAACACGGACCAAGGAGUCUAACAUGCCUGCGAGUAUUUGGGUGAAAAACCCGAGUGCGUAAUGAAAGUGAAAGUUGAGAUCCCUGUCGUGGGGAGCAUUGACGCCCGGAUCUGACCUUUUGUGACGAUUCUGCGGUAGAGCAUGUAUGUUGGGACCCGAAAGAUGGUGAACUAUGCCUGAAUAGGGUGAAGCCAGAGGAAACUCUGGUGGAGGCUCGUAGCGAUUCUGACGUGCAAAUCGAUCGUCAAAUUUGGGUAUAGGGGCGAAAGACUAAUCGAUCAUCUAGUAGCUGUCUGCG